rnacentral:lncRNA from 1 species
GAGUUUGUCUGUCUAUCUGUCUGUCCUAGAUUCUGGACAAUCCCACAUUUAUUUUCUUCUUCUUUUAAGCAAAGUUGCAGGAUAAAAAAAAAAAAAAACAGUAGCCUUCUUUUAUAAAAAUGAUAAACAGGCUGAGAAUGAAAUUAGGGAAACAACUCCCUUCACAAUAGCCACAAAUAAUAUAAAAUACCUUGGGAUGGCUCUAACCAAACAAGUGAAAGACCUGUAUGAAAAUAACUUCUUCAAGUGUCUCAGAAAGAAAUCAAAGAUCUCAAAAAAAAAAAAAAAAAAAAAAAAAAAAAAAAAAAAAAAGGAUUGGCGGAAUUAACAUAGUAAAAAAUGGCCAUCAAACCAAAGGCAAUCUAUAGAUUCAAUGCAAUUCUAGAAAAUAUUCUUCAAAGACACGGAAAAAACAAUUCUCAAAUUCAUCUGGAAUGGCAGAAAACCCAGAAUAGUGAAAGCAAUUCUUCACAAUAAAAGAACCAUCGCUGACCUCAAGCUUUACGACAGAGCAAUAGUGAUUAAAAAAACAAAUAC